CACAACUCUAGACACAAAUCAAAAUAAUACAAGCUUCAUAUUACAAGCCAGGGGCCUCGAGGGCUCGAAUACAAGCUCGAUACACAAGAGUCAGCGGAAGCAACAAUAUCUGAAUACAGACAUAAAGUUAGACAAGGAUGCCUUAAGAAGGUAGCACAAACAUCAAUGAUCGAAGAGGCAAGGCCUCCUGCCUGGGACCUCCUAACUACUCCUGGUCGUCGACGGCCUCCAAGUAGUAGUAUCCGUCGGCGGUGGCAUCUGACUUCAGGGAUCCACCAUCUGGUUGCAUCAACCGGAAAGAAGAAGGAAGGGGGAAAAGGGGUAGCAAAGCAACCGUGAGUACUCAUCCAAAGUACUCGCAAGCAUCAGAUCUAUACUAAGUAUGCGUUGGUAUCAAAUGGAAGGGCUGUAUCUGUGGACUGAACUGCAGAAUGCCAGAAUAGAGGGGAAGGCCUAAUCUAUCGAAGACUAGCAUCUUCAAGCAGCUCCAAGCAUCUUGUAGCAUGUAGAAGAGUAAAGAAUAGCAGUUUAAUUAUCAAGCAUGUUGUAGCAUUAAUGCCCAGAGAUCCUUCCUCGACUCCUUGCGAGAAAGCAAUCUCGGAGCCACAUAUCCAUCACAUAUCUCAAGUAUCCAUUUCUAGUUAUAUAAGAUCCGGAUACAAGUCUGAACGUCCAUUACCGUGGACACGGUAUUCGAAUAUAUAUCUUCCCUGCAGGGGUGCACCACGUUUUCCAACACGCUCAAUCACUCUGGUCGGACACACCUUUCUGGGGUCAAUGCCUGGCCUCGGAAGAUCAACACGUCGCAGGCCUACCUAGGCUCAGCAGAGAGGUCCCCGCCGGUCUACAUCCUAAGCACUCCGGGGUCUGGGCCCAUCGCCCGUAGCACUCCGGGUCGUUACGUGCAGGGCGGGUCCAGGCUCCACCACUAUAGGAUGGUGCCGGCCCAGCCGUGCCACAAUGCUGAACUGGACGUCUGACAAAGCUUCGGCUGAUACUGCAACGUCGAGGCCCAUAACUAUUCUCGUGUGGUGGUUAGUGCGUAAAGGCCAGAGGCCAAUUCAGAACAAAUACCCAAACCUGUUAGUGCAUUAACAAUUAAAAGUAGUGACAGCUGUCGGGACAAGUCCGGAGCUAUCACCCCCUCCUGGGUGAUACCGCUAAACAGCCAGUCACCACUGUCACAUCGCACGGGCGCUCUCCGGGCCCGCCCGGCUUUCACAACGGUCUCAAGUAAAGUCAAGGUAACUAUUUGUCCAGACAUCAAGGGGAAACCCCGAGAAAUCACUCCCGGUGGAUUCCACUCAAUGUAAUCAUCAAGGUGAACGUAAGAGGGACCACCCUCGAGGUUCACACUUGAGGUGUUGAACAACAGAGGCGUAUCGGGAAUGGUGAAAGAGGAAUUCACCCUCGAUGACCACGACCGAAUAGAUACACUACAGAAUAAUCAUCAAGAGUGCGUUAUGAGGGAUCACCCUCGGCACUCGAUAGUAGCUCUGCAGAGUCAAACAACAAAAGGGGCGUGAUGUGAUGUGAGGUGUCGGGCUCUGGUCGUCGAUCACGUUGAUCGAGUCGUCGAUGAUGAAGCAGGGGCAACAAGGACAAGGUGGAGGUCACUGAUGGAUCACUAACCAACCUAUACUAAGCAGUUUAGGAUAAGCAGGUAGGUAACAAUAGCAGAUACAAAAGCAGGCUAUGCAUCAGAAUAGGAGCAAUCAAUAACAGUAGCAAAAUCUAAUGCAAGCAUGAGAGAAUGGAAUGGGUGAUAUCGGGAUGAUCAAAGGGGGGGGCUUGCUUGAAAGCUCCGCUGAAAGGGAAGAAGUGUCCUCGGUGACGUAGUCGAUCACAGAGGCAUCGGGAUCAGUCUCGGGGUCUACCGGAGAUAAGAGGGGGAAGAAACAGUAAAUACAAGCAACAGAUGCAUGACAAGACAAUAAGCAGCGCGAGGGGUGUUCUAACGCGGUGCUACACGACACCGACAAAGGGGGAUAACAUCCGGGAAAGUUUUCCCGAAGUUUGGCAUUUUCGGAUAGAUGAACCGGAGGGGAAAGGUUCGAUGUUCGCUAUGCUAGGGGCAUGUGACAGAUGAACGGAGAGCGUAUUCCAAUUCGUCUCGUCGUUCUAAGCAUCUUUCAUGUAUAAAACUUUUUCAUCCGAGUUACGGAUUAAUUUCUAUGGAUUUCUAAAGUUUUAGCAAUAUUCUAGAUUUUUAAAUUACUUUUAAUUUGAGUUGACCAAGUCAAUUUGACUAGUCAAAAAGGAGAGCUUUGACCCACAUGUCAUGGACUAUUUACCAAAAAAAUAAGUAAACCUAACUCAUUUAAUGGGGGCCUACAUGUCAUCUACUAGUACUAGACUAACUUAGCACCAGUUAAUACUACUAGUUAAACCUAGUACUAAGAAGGGCCAGCCACUACUGGGCAGAACCCAGCCGGCCACACGCACAGUGCACACACACAACACGCAACGCUAGAGAAUAAAUAUGUUCUUUGUUUAACAGAAGAUAGCAAUUUAUGAUUUUCAUAGGAUGUAAUCCAUGCAUCAAGUGGAUUUGGUCCAAUGAAAAAAUUUGUACCUUGUCAAGUGUACUACCUACUCAUAUUAUUUUAUACACAUAUUAACAAUUGUUUAACCGCUGAUUAGAGGCUGUUUAGGGGCUUAGUCGACGUAGAAAUUAAAAAGCUAACUAUACAGCACCGCCAGUACUAGCAUCAGUACAGGCAGAGCAACGGUGGGCAGCGGCGUGGUGCGGGCGCGGCCAAGCGCUGGAGGGCGCGUGCGGGCACGCGGCCGGCGCGGGGCACACAAGGGCAGCAACCGGAGCGAGGCAGGACGAGGCCCGAACGCGGCGUCGCGAGCGACUGCAGGGCCUGAUGACGGCAGCAGCAAAGUAGCAGCUGCAUCAGCACAACAGCAGGCAGGGGAGGCGGCGCACGGCAAGCGGCUGGACACGCGCGGGGCGAGCAGAAGACCCCGGGCAGGCGCGACAAGUGCGGGGUCAAGGAGCCGCGGGCGCGUGACCAGGGCAUGGGGAGGACGGCAGAGCACGCGUGGGAGCGAGGUGGCUCAGACGCGCGAGCGCAGGCGCACAGGAGCAGACGGAGAGGUCCGGGCAGUGGUGACGUCCUACGGCGACGAGAAGAAAUAAAGGGAGAAGGGGGAAUGGACGGCGGCUCACAGCGGUGCCGGGGAGAAGCAUAGGGAGGCCGGAGAGGACGCGGCGCGGUAGAUCGACGACGAGGUCGCGGUGGCCGGGGCGGAGAAGAGUAGGUCGAAGGAGACGUUCGGUGGUUCCCCCUCCUUGAUCCAGGGGCGCAGGCGGCGUGGUUGAAGACGAGGGUCCUCCUGGACACCUCGGGUCGGCGAGGCCUGGCCGGUGGCCAUGGCUAUGGUGAGCGGUGGCGGCAGCUUUGCUCGGGGAAGGAGGAAGCGGCGCGAGUGGGGGAAGGGGAGUAGGGCUAGGGUUUGACAGGGAGAGAGAUGACGGGGGUUGGGGAUUGCUCUUAUCCAUUGGAGGAAGCCGCGGGAUAGCCGCCACGAGGCCGGGGCGAGGCCAUGGCGCCUGGAUCCCCUGCCACGACCCCUCCCGUGAACAGGAGGAAGGAGAUGGUGGGGGUUUAGGUGGGCUGGGCCUCCCUCAGGCCACGUGGGCCCCUUUUCUUUGGUUUAAUUUUUUAGAUUUCUAUCUGUUCUUCUACAAUUUUGUUUAAUUCUCCACUGUUUGUAAUUAGUUUAGCUAGUAAAUGAUUUGCGCUCAAUACGUAACUUGGUAAAAAAUAUGGUGCACCAUUUUGUAGAUGCAUGCAAAGUUUGAGGUCAUUUGGAAAGUUUAAACAUUUUUUAAAAUGAAACUGUCAAGUUAUUUGCUGCUAUCCCAUUUAUUGAUUUCCUAAGAAUUUAUUUGUGAGCCAAAUGAAGUUAGUUUUGCAUCACAAUUUCUUAUUGAAUAUUUGCAACACAAUGAACAUUUUUAAUUUCACUGUUCGAAGGAAUAAUAAUUUUACUUGAAAUUUAAAUUUGAAUUUGAUCGGUUGGAAUCAGAGUGAUUGCUAGCAAUAGUAAAAAUGAUGACAUGGCAUCAUUAUUAGGGGAUUACUGUAGCUUGAUUAUCCGGGCGUCACAAUUCUCCUCCACUACAAGAAAUCUCGUCCCGAGAUUUUGGAGGAAGAAGGAAACAAAACCGGGGUAUUCAUCAUGAAGACGAUCCUCGCGUGCCCUAGAGGCUUGAUCUUCAGAAGGAUUUGACCACUGAACUUUAGGCAAUUUGAUAGCCCUCUGACGGGUGCGACGCUCAGCUGGAGCGAGAACGCGGAUCGGAUGCUCCGAGUAGGUGAGAUCAUCGUGCAGGGUUUGAGCUUUAUAAGCCAUGGGGUUGUUGCAAUAAGACUUGCGACUCAGGGCAUCGGCCAUGACAAUAGCCUUGCCAGGAGUAUGAGAAAUGCCGUAGUCAUAGUUUGUAAUUCUUUCCAUAGAUCGCUGAUGACGGGGAUCCAGAUUUAGCUGAGUAAUCAGAUACUUUAGACUUUGAUGAUCCGUGAAGAUCUCGCAAUGGUUACCGAGAAGGUAAUGACGCCACAACUUUAGUGCAAACUUAACUACAGCAAGUUCAAGGUCAUGGACUGUGCAGUUCUUCUGGAAAGAAAUCCUGGAGUUCACAAAUGAAUGCAGCGUUUUCAAUUCUCACAAGAGGAGAAGCGUUUUAAUGCAUUCAAGGAAUAAUCCGUGCUUCGACAUUUCGAACAAGAUGAGCAGGGUAGCUCACAAUCUCAUUUGAAGGAUGUAGUAGUUUGAUAGUUUUAGUGGCAGAAACAAUUGAAGGGGUAUGUGUUUUUGACCAUUCUAUGCCCAGAAUGAGGUCAAUAUAGGACGACUUCAAAACAAUGGGGGGCGAAACAUGGAAUUCCAACCCUUCAAUUUCAACAGGGACGUUGUCACUUACCAUGGUGGUCCAACAUUAGCCCGCGAAAAGCAGCUUGGAAUUUCGGCCAAGUGAUGGCGGAUCCAAGAGGUAAGAAACGCCUGUGGCUGUCCCACCAUUGAGCAGAGGGACCUUUCAGGUAAUAAGUCGCGAAGGUGACAUAGUUGGUAGGGGCUACAUCAGUAGACUCCCACUCGAAAGUGAUGUCAAGGAGCCAGUCAUCAACAUCAAGGGGCUGAGCUAAGCUGCGGUAGAUGGCAGGAUUGAGACGCGCAAAGUUUUGCAGAGUCACUGGGGCUGGUUGCUGAUUCAUAUUGGGGCGUGGAAACUAAGCCAUGACUCAUACCAUGAACUGGCGAUUCAACAUCAAACUAUUGUAUCAUUACGGCCAUGUAUUCGGGCGGCCAUGACCAGCGGGUCUAACCAUCCUGCUUAAAUGCAACAGGGGGUAGUUUAGCAAAGGGUGGAGCAAGUGUUUGGAGUCAUUCAUGAUAUUACUAGAGCAAUGGGCAAAGGCGCAAUAUGUACAAGGCAGUAGUCAUUAAAGACAUACCGAUACAAAUGCGAGGCCAAUUACAUGUCGUUCAUAAGAGUUCGGACAAGAGAAACAUCGCAGACAUACUAGGCGGUGCACAUGCACGCGAUGGAGGAAUAUAACAACGGGACAUAGCAAAGGCUACAUCAAUGUCAGGGGAAACCUCUGGAGCGAGGAAUUUGCAAGUGGCGACGCAGGGUGCCCUCGAUAAGAGGAUCAUGCGGUCAGUGAACAUUGAGAAGCCGAUCUUGGCCCACAAAGAAAGGGGUAACACAAAUCUCCAGAUGGAUGUGAUCACGAGAACCUAGUAUAGAGUUAGCAAAAUCAUUUAACCCGAAUAGAAGAGAUGUCAGAGUCCCAGAGUAUAGACGAGGAGUAAAAGAACCUAAUACCACCCAUUUGGCGAUGUGGGCCCGUAAGACACACAACCAUGUUAGUAAAACCGUUUUUCAAAGACUAGACUCAACUUCGGCCAAGGAGUUGGAAAGUGGAAUCCUACAGGCAGUCGGCUCUGAUACCAACUUGUGACGCCCCCGAUUCAAUCGUACACUAAUCAUACACGCAAAUGUGUACGAUCAAGAUCAGGGACUCACGGGAAGAUAUCACAACACAACUCUAGACACAAAUCAAAAUAAUACAAGCUUCAUAUUACAAGCCAGGGGCCUCGAGGGCUCGAAUACAAGCUCGAUACACAAGAGUCAGCGGAAGCAACAAUAUCUGAAUACAGACAUAAAGUUAGACAAGGAUGCCUUAAGAAGGCUAGCACAAACAUCAACGAUCGAAGAGGCAAGGCCUCCUGCCUGGGACCUCCUAACUGCUCCUGGUCGUCGACGGCCUCCAAGUAGUAGUAUCUGUCGGCGGUGGCAUCUGACUUCAAGGAUCCACCAUCUGGUUCCAUCAACCGGAAAGAAGAAGGAAGGGGAAAAAGGGGUAGCAAAGCAACCGUGAGUACUCAUCCAAAGUACUCGCAAGCAUCAGAUAUAUACUAAGUAUGCAUUGGUAUCAAAUGGAACGGUUGUAUCUAUGGACUAAACUGUAGAAUGCCAGAAUAGAGGGGAAGGCCUAGCCUAUCAAAGACUAGCAUCUUCAAGCAGCUCCAAGCAUCUUGCAGCAUGUAGAAGAGUAAAGAAUAGCAGUUUAAUUAUCAAGCAUGUUGUAGCAUUAAUGCCCAGAGAUCCUUCCUCGACUCCCUGCGAGAAAGCAAUCUCGGAGCCACAUAUCCAUCACAUAUCUCAAGUAUCCAUUUCUAGUUAUAUAAGAUCCGGAUACAAGUCUGAACGUCCAUUACCGUGGACACGGUAUUCGAAUAUAUAUCUUCCCUGCAGGGGUGCACCACGUUUUCCAACACGCUCGAUCACUCUGGCCGGACACACCUUUCUGGGGUCAAUGCCCGGCCUCGGAAGAUCAACACGUCGCAGCCCUACCUAGGCUCAGCAGAGAGGUCCCCGACGGUCUACAUCCUAAGCACUCCGGGGUCUGGGCCCAUCGCCCGUAGCACUCCGGGUCGUUACGUGCAGGGCGGGUCCAGGCUCCACCACUAUAGGAUGGUGCCGGCCCAGUCGUGCUGCAAUGUUGAACUGGACGUCUGACAAAGCUUCGGCUAAUACUGCGACGUCGAGGCCCAUAACUAUUCUCGCGUGGUGGUUAGUGCGUAAAGGCCAGAGGCCAAUUCAGAACAAAUACCCAAACCUGUUAGUGCAUUAACAAUUAAAAGUAGUGACGGCUUUCGGGACAAGUCCGGAGCAAUCACCCCCUCCUGGGUGAUACCGCUAAACAGCCAGCCGCCACCAUCACAUCACACGGGUGCUCUCCGGGCCCGCCCGGCUUUCACAACGGUCUCAAGUAAAGUCAAGGUAACUGUGUGUCCAAACAUCAAGGGGAAAACCCGAGGAAACACCCCCGGUGAAUUCCACUCAAUGUAAUCAUCAAGGUGAACGUAAGAGGGACCACCCUCGAGGUUCACACUUGAGGUGUUGAACGACAGAGCCGUAUUGAAAAUGGUGAAAGAGGAAAUCACCCUCGAUGACCACGACCGAAUACAUACACUACAGAAUUAUCAUCAAGAGUGUGUUAUGAGGGAUCACCCUCGGCACUCGAUAAUAGCUCUGCAGAGUCAAACAACAAAAGGGGCGUGAUGUGAUGUGAGGUGUCGGGCUCUGGUCGUCGAUCACGUUGAUCGAGUCAUCGAUGAUGAAGCAGGGGCAACAAGGACAAGGUGGAGGUCACUGAUGGAUCACUAACCAACCUAUACUAAGCAGUUUAGGAUAAGCAGGUAGGUAACAAUAGCAGAUACAAAAGCAAGCUAUGCAUCAGAAUAGGAGCAAUCAAUAACAGUAGCAAAAUCUAACGCAAGCAUGAGAGAAUGGAAUGGGCGAUAUCGGGAUGAUCAAAGGGGGGGGCUUGCCUGGAAGCUCCGCUGAAAGGAAAGAAGUGUCGUCGGUGACGUAGUCGAUCACAGAGGCAUCGGGAUCAGUCUCGGGAUCUACCAGAGAUAAGAGGGGGGAAGAAAUAGUAAAUACAAGCAACAGAUGCAUGACAAGACAAUAAGCAGUGCGAGGGGUGUUCUAACGCGGUGCUACACGAUACUGACAAAGGGGGAUAACAUCCGGGAAAGUUUUCCCUAAGUUUGGCAUUUUCGGAUAGAUGAACCGGAGGGGAAAUGUUCGAUGUUCGCUAUGCUAGGGGCAUGUGACAGAUGAACGGAGAGCGUAUACCAAUUCGUCUCGUCGUUCUAAGCAUCAUUCAUGUGUAAAACUUUUUCAUCCGAGUUACGGAUUAAUUUCUAUGGAUUUCUAAAGUUUUAGCAAUAUUCUAGAUUUUUAAAUUACUUCUAAUUUGAGUUGACCAAGUCAAUUUGACUAGUCAAAAAGGAGAGCUGUGACCCACAUGUCAUGGACUAUUUACCUAAAAAAAUAAGUAAACCUAACUUAUUUAAUGGGGGCCUACAUGUCAUCUACUAGUACUAGACUAACUUAGCACCGGUUAAUACUACUAGUUAAACCUAGUACUAAGAAGGGUCGGCCACUACUGGGUAGAACCUAGCCGGCCACAUGCACAGCGUACACACACAACACGCAAAGCUAGAGAAUAAAUAUGUUCUUUGUUUAACAGAAGAUAGCAAUUUAUGAUUUUCAUAGGAUGUAAUCCAUGCAUCAAGUGGAUUUGGUCCAAUGGAAACAUUUGAACCUUGUCAAGUGUACUACCUACUCAUAUUAUUUUUACACAUAUUAACAACUGUUUAACUGCUGAUUAGAGGCUGUUUAGGGGCUUAGUUGACGUAGAAAUUAAAAAGCUAACUAUGCAGCACCGCCAGUACUAGCAUCAGUACAGGCAGAGCAACGGUGGGCAGCGGCGUGGUGCGGGCGCGGCCAAGCGCUGGAGGGCGCGUGCGGGAGCACGGCCGGCACGGGGCACACAAGGGCAGCGACCGGAGGCGAGGCAGGACGAGGCCCGAACGCGGCGUCGCGAGCGACUGCAGGGCCUGAUGACGGCAGCAGCAAAGUAGCAGCUGCAUCAGCACAACAGCAGGCAGGGGAGGCGGCGCACGGCAAGCGGCUGGACACGCGCGGGGCGAGCAGAAGACCCCGGGCAGGCGCGACAAGUGCGAGGUCAAGGAGCCGCGGGCGCGUGACCAGGGCAUGGGGAGCACGGCAGAGCACGCGUGGGAGCGAGGCGGCUCAGACGCGCGAGCGCAGGCGCACAGGAGCGGACGGAGAGGUCCGGGCAGUGGUGACGUCCUACGGCGACGAGAAGAAAUAAAGGGGGAAGGGGGAAUGGACGGCGGCUCACAGCGGUGCCGGGGAGAAGCAUAGGGAGGCCGGAGAGGACGCGGCGCGGUAGAUCGACGACGAGGUCGCGGUGGCCGGGGUGGAGAAGAGUAGGUCGAAGGAGACGUUCGGUGGUUCCCCCGCCUUGAUCCAGGGGCGCAGGCGACGUGGUUGAAGAUGAGGGUCCUCCUGGACACCUCGGGUUGGCGAGGCCUGGCCGGUGGCCAUGGCUAUGGUGAGCGGUGGCGGCAGCUUUGCUCGGGGAAGGAGGAAGCGGCGCGAGUGGGGGAAGGGGAGUAGGGCUAGGGUUUGACAGGGAUAGAGAUGAGGGGGGGUUGGGGAUUGCUCUUAUCUAUUGGAGGAAGCCGCGGGAUAGCCGCCACGAGG
rnacentral:lncRNA from 1 species